AGGACGAACGCUGGCGGCGUGCCUAACACAUGACAAGUCGAACGGGGUUGUCCUUCGGGGGACAACUUAGUGGCGAACGGGUGAGUAACGCGUGAGGAACCUGCCUUUCAGUGGGGGACAACAGUUGGAAACGACUGCUAAUACCGCAUAAUGUGUCGGAUGGCAUCAUCUGGCAACCAAAGCUUUAUGUGCUGAAAGAUGGCCUCGCGUCUGAUUAGAUAGUUGGUGAGGUAACGGCUCACCAAGUCGACGAUCAGUAGCCGGACUGAGAGGUUGAACGGCCACAUUGGGACUGAGAUACGGCCCAGACUCCUACGGGAGGCAGCAGUGGGGAAUAUUGGGCAAUGGGGGAAACCCUGACCCAGCAACGCCGCGUGAAGGAAGAAGGCCUUCGGGUUGUAAACUUCUUUUAGCAGGGACGAAGGACGUGACGGUACCUGCAGAAAAAGCAACGGCUAACUACGUG
rnacentral:rRNA from 1 species